rnacentral:rRNA from 1 species
CCUACGGGCGGCAGCAGUGGGGAAUAUUGGACAAUGGGGGCAACCCUGAUCCAGCCAUGCCGCGUGUGUGAAGAAGGCCCUCGGGUUGUAAAGCACUUUCAGUGAGGAAGAACGCCUGGUGGUUAAUACCCAUCAGGAAAGACAUCACUCACAGAAGAAGCACCGGCUAACUCCGUGCCAGCAGCCGCGGUAAUACGGAGGGUGCGAGCGUUAAUCGGAAUUUCUGGGCGUAAAGCGCGCGUAGGUGGCUUGAUAAGCCGGUUGUGAAAGCCCCGGGCUCAACCUGGGAACGGCAUCCGGAACUGUCAAGCUAGAGUGCAGGGGAGGAAGGUAGAAUUCCCGGUGUAGCGGUGAAAUGCGUAGAGAUCGGGAGGAAUACCAGUGGCGAAGGCGGCCUUCUGGACUGACACUGACACUGAGGUGCGAAAGCGUGGGUAGCAAACAGGAUUAGAUACCUGGUAGUC